rnacentral:lncRNA from 1 species
CUAAAGACAUAUGUUUCAAACGCUCAGAAAUUCCUUUGUUCUAUAUUUUUGCUCUCCAUUUUUAUGCAAAACCUUUUACAUUUUUAUUUUAUGGGUUAUUGUUGAAGGUCGUACGAUGACGUAUGGUUGUUAACACAUACUUCCUUUGGUUUCUUAUGGAAAUUUGUCCAUUGACAAAAAUACCACAUCAUCUACUUGAUAUAAGUAUUGUAUAAAUUACAACGUAUUUUGGUGAUCUUGCAAAAUGAUCGUAAUCCCGAAAAUCGUAAACAUAUUUUCUUAUCUUAAAAGGCGGCAAGAAGGGUUCCAUUAACAGGCCAAUAAA